UACGUAUGUCACAAGCGUUAUCCGGAUUUAUUGGGCGUAAAGCGUGUCUAGGUGGUUAUGUAAGUCUGAUGUGAAAAUGCAGGGCUCAACUCUGUAUUGCGUUGGAAACUGUAUAACUAGAGUACUGGAGAGGUAAGCGGAACUACAAGUGUAGAGGUGAAAUUCGUAGAUAUUUGUAGGAAUGCCGAUGGGGAAGCCAGCUUACUGGACAGAUACUGACGCUAAAGCGCGAAAGCGUGGGUAGCAAACAGG
rnacentral:rRNA from 1 species